ACAUGCAGUCGAGGGGUAACAUUGGUGCUUGCACCAGAUGACGACCGGCGCACGGGUGCGUAACGCGUAUACAAUCUGCCUUGUACUGGGGGAUAGCCUUUUAAAAAGGAAGAUUAAGACCCCAUAGUAUUAUAGAUUCGCAUGAUGAAAUAAUUAAAGGUUAGGGUAAAAGAUGAGUAUGUGUCCUAUUAGCUAGAUGGAGUGGUAACGGCACCCCAUGGCGACGAUAGGUAGGGGCCCUGAGAGGGGGAUCCCCCACACUGGUACUGAGACACGGACCAGACUCCUACGGGAGGCAGCAGUGAGGAAUAUUGGACAAUGGGGGCAACCCUGAUCCAGCCAUGCCGCGUGCAGGAAGACUGCCCUAUGGGUUGUAAACUGCUUUUAUACGGGAAGAAACACCGCUACGUGUAGCGGCUUGACGGUACCGUAAGAAUAAGGAUCGGCUAACUCCGUGCCAGCAGCCGCGGUAAUACGGAGGAUCCAAGCGUUAUCCGGAAUCAUUGGGUUUAAAGGGUCCGUAGGUGGGCUGGUCAGUCAGAGGUGAAAUCCCACGGCUCAACCGUGGAACUGCCUUUGAUACUGCUAGUCUUGAGUUAUUAUGAAGUAGUUAGAAUAUGUAGUGUAGCGGUGAAAUGCAUAGAUAUUACAUAGAAUACCAAUUGCGAAGGCAGAUUACUAAUAAUAUACUGACACUGAUGGACGAAAGCGUAGGUAGCGAACGGGAUUAGAUACCCCGGUAGUCUACGCCGUAAACGAUG
rnacentral:rRNA from 1 species